rnacentral:piRNA from 1 species
UCCACACGAGCGUCCAUCAGGUUCUUGGCCUU